UGGGGGAUAUUGCACAAUGGGCGAAAGCCUGAUGCAGCGACGCCGCGUGGGGGAUGAAGGCCUUCGGGUUGUAAACUUCUUUUGCUCUGAACAAGGCGCACCAUGGGGUGUGUUGAGUGUAGGGGUUGAUUAGCGCCGGCUAACUACGUGCCAGCAGCCGCGGUAAUACGUAGGGCGCGAGCGUUGUCCGGAAUUAUUGGGCGUAAAGGGCUUGUAGGUGGCUGGUUGCGUCUGUCGUGAAAGCUCAUGGCUUAACUGUGGGUUUGCGGUGGGUACGGGCUGGCUUGAGUGCAGUAGGGGAGGCUGGAAUUCCUGGUGUAGCGGUGGAAUGCGCAGAUAUCAGGAGGAAUACCGGUGGUGAAGGCGGGUCUCUGGGCUGUUACUGACACUGAGGAGCGAAAGCAUGGGGAGCGAACAGG
rnacentral:rRNA from 1 species